UCUCCGUUGGUGAACCAGCGGAGGGAUCAUUACGGAGUUUAUUAUAACUCCUAAACCCAUGUGAACCUACCUUCUGUUGCCUCGGCAGGCAAGUCGUAUCUUGCUACCCUAUAGGACCCUAUCUUGUAAGACGUUACCUUAUAAGGUCCUAUCCGGUAGAGAGAUGCGGUACUACCUGCCGGUGGACUGAAAAAAAAAUUCUGUUUAAUAAAUGGUAUUCUGAAUCAUUAUAUGGAAAUUAAGUUAAAACUUUCAACAACGGAUCUCUUGGUUCUG
rnacentral:misc_RNA from 1 species